GAUGAACGCUGGCGGCGUGCUUAACACAUGCAAGUCGAACGGUGAAGGCGGAGCUUGCUCUGCUGGAUCAGUAGCGAACGGGUGCGUAACACGUGAGCAAUCUGCCCCUGACUCUGGGAUAAGCGCUGGAAACGGCGUCUAAUACUGGAUACGAGCUGCGAAGGCAUCUUCAGCAGCUGGAAAGAACUUCGGUCAGGGAUGAGCUCGCGGCCUAUCAGCUUGUUGGUGAGGUAACGGCUAACCAAGGCGUCGACGGGUAGCCGGCCUGAGAGGGUGACCGGCCACACUGGGACUGAGACACGACCCGGACUCCUACGGGAGGCAGCAGUGGGGAAUAUUGCACAAUGGGCGGAAGCCUGAUGCAGCGACGCCGCGUGAGGGACGACGGCCGUCGGGGUGUAAACCGCUUUUAGCAGGGAAGAAGCGAAAGUGACGGUACCUGCAGAGAAAGCGCCGGCUAACUACGUG
rnacentral:rRNA from 1 species